CCCGCUAUAGCUCAAUGGUAGAGCAUGCGGCUGUAGCCCGCAGUGUUCCCGGUUCGAAUCCGGGUAGCGGGA
rnacentral:tRNA from 1 species